rnacentral:lncRNA from 1 species
ACUAAUCUUGCUAAUAAUAAUUUAUAAAAUAAUAAUAAAAAAUUUAUAUUUAUUUUAAUUUUAUAUUUUAUUAUAUGACUGGCAUAAUACCUUAGAGUUAUUAUAGAAUUUCUAUAUCUAUGGAUUGGGAAACUCUAUAUAAAGAGCAGAAGUCCUACCGAGUUCAAGCUAAGUAAUUACUUCCUUUGGUUGGAGUGUGAAAAAAAAAAAAAAAAAAAUGUCCGCUCAAGUUCUACCAACGGUCUCCAGUUCAACAGAAAAAACUGUUCGUCCCAUUGCUGGUUUCCAUCCUAACUUAUGGGGAGACUAUUUCCUGACCCUCGCUUCUGAUUGCAAGGUAAUUAAAGACGGAUCUAAAUAACUCGCUAACUACCAGCUAGCUAGCUAGCCAUGUGCGUGAUUAAUUCGCAUAGAGACUAAUAAGUAUUAAUUAAUUGUAUUGUACAUGCAUGCAUUGCAGACAAAUGAUACUACGCACCAAGAGGAAUACGAAGCGCUGAAGCAAGAAGUCAGGAGCAUGAUAACGGCUACGGCAGAUACACCUGCCCAGAAGUUGCAAUUGGUUGAUGCAGUCCAACGAUUGGGUGUGGCCUAUCACUUCGAACAGGAGAUAGAAGAUGCAUUGGAAAAGAUUUAUCACGAUGACUUUGAUAAUAACGAUGAUGUCGAUCUCUACACUGUUUCUCUUCGUUUUCGACUGCUUAGGCAGCAAGGAUUUAAGGUUCCGUGUGGUAAGUAAGAUUUUUGCUUAAAGCUAAUUAGGGUCUCUACAGUUUCUGCCAAUUACAUACUUAGUUGUUGUAAUUUUUAAAACAUACUCAAAAGAUUUGUUGUUACAUUUGUAGGUGUUGGAUAUGAGUAGAUAAAAAGAAAAUGGUCAUAUAUUGAGUAGAUUUUAACACAAAUUUGUACAAUAGAGACAUUUGGGACAUAUUUGAAAAUAAAGUAACUAUAUAAUUGAGUAAUUGGCUGAAACUAUCCCUAGCCAUUUAUAUAUGUGUUUAUACAUGCUGAUGUCAAUGUAACUGAGCACAAUAAAUCUUUUACUAAAAAUAUCAGAUGUGUUCGAGAAGUUCAAAGAUGAUGAAGGUAAAUUCAAGGCAUCAUUGGUGCAGGAUGUUCAUGGCAUUCUAAGUUUGUAUGAGGCAGGACACUUGGCCAUUCGCGGAGAAGAUAUAUUGGAUGAAGUCAUUGCUUUCACUAGAACUCACCUUAAGUCAAUGGCAUCUGAUGAUGUUUGCCCUAAUAAUCUUGCUGAGCAAAUUAACCAUGCUCUCGACUGUCCUCUCCGUAGAGCCCUCCCAAGAGUAGAGACAAGAUUUUUCUUGUCUGUCUAUCCAAGAGUUGAUAAGCACGAUAAAACUUUGUUAAAGUUUGCAAAGUUAGACUUUAACCUUGUGCAAAGAAUACAUCAGAAGGAAUUAAGUGCCAUCACACGGUAAGCUCUUAACCCGCGCCUGUGUUAUUUUUACUUUAAAAGAACCAAAAAAAAAAAAAAAAAACAGAUACAUUGAUUUGCUUUGUUAAUUUAUAAGCAUUUUUGAAAAUAUACAAAUCACUUUCCUGUUCAUUUAAAGUUCUAGGACAAUAUAUUGUCAUUGUCUUUGUUCUUGUUCAAUUAUUGUGGGAAAUUGUCACUUCCUUCUAUGAUUCUUAGAUUUUACUACUUACAUCCUUACGGUUUUCAUAUGUAACUGUGCUUUACCUGUUUGACGUAACUUAUUCUUUUGGGGCUUUGCCCUCCCAUUAUAUUUUAAAAGUAAAAUAUGAAAAGAAAGAAAAAAUCUAUUUUAACAGAGAUAAAUAUAACAGCAAGAACAUUUUGAGCAAAUUUUAAAAUUAUGAGGACCAACCAGACAUUUAGGUGAAUAUAAGGACAAUAAGGACAUUUAUCCAAAUGAUUUUCUAAACAUUUAACAAAGAGAACAUGUAUUGAUCAUCUCCUAACCUCUACUAAUUUAAUGAGUGAUCAAGAUUGAGUUUUGAAUUUUUAUAUUGAUAAUCAAGCCAACUUUUUUCACUUUAUUUAUAACUAAAUCAUCUUUUUUCACUAAAUUUAGAAAGCUUAGAGUAGUUAGGAGGGGGAAAAAACUAGUAGAGAAUGCUAAUAAUAAAAGUGGGCAAUUUAAUUUCUCAUUCACUUUUCACUAACUUUAACAAUCUUACAAAAUUUCACACAAAGGCCAAAAAUUCUCCUCUUAUUUAUGAUAUCGAUCAUACAUGUAUAAUUCUAGUGAACAAUAAAACCGAGUUUUUGUUUCUCCUUUUUUUAUCUUUUAAAUUGCACAAUGCCAGUAAAUUUAUUAAUUAGUUUUAGCUACCAAUUAAAUAAUUUUAAUAUAAGAUAUUUGAAUUUCAGGGGGUGGAAAGAUUUAGACUUCACUACAAAGCUGCCUUACGCAAGAGACAGAAUCGUGGAGUUAUAUUUUUGGAUUGUAGGGACGUAUUUUGAACCAAAAUACACCUUAGCCAGAAAAAUAAUGACCAAAUCAAUUUACAUGACAUCUAUCAUCAAUGACACUUUCGACGCCUAUGGUAUCUUUGAAGAGCUCAAACUCUUUACAGAAGCAGUCCAGAAGUUUAAAAUAUUUUGUGAUCUAUAUAAAUAUAAUAAAUUAUUAUUAUUAUUAUUAUUAUUUUAAAUUUUCUUUCACACGAUAUAUUACUUCGUAUUCAGAUGGGACAUCGGAGCCACAAAUAUACUUCCAGAAUACAUGAAAAUACUUUAUAAGGCCCUUUUAGAUACUUACAAUGAAAUUGAGCAAGACUUGGCCAAGGAAGGAAGAUCAUUCUACUUACGUUAUGACAAGGAAAAGGUAGGCAAUUAAGGGGUAAAUCCUCAAUUAGUCUAUGUAUUUUAAAAAUGAUAAAUGCUCAAAUAGUCCCUACAUUUUCCGUUAAGAUUUGUUACAAAUUGUUACGAGCAAAAUUGACGCGCCUCAAUUUCUUGACAUGAAUAAAUGGAUAUGGGUCAUGUUAAUAAUGGAUCGUGUUUAAAUAAUUUAAACUUGUUAUGACAUAAAAUCGAGACAGUUCGAACACGAUUCAAUAGUUGUGUAGUUGGAUUUCAUUUCAACAUGGUCCAGCAUUAGCUUAAUUUGUAUUAAGCUUUAAAAAAAAAGAAAGAAAGAGAGAGGGGUUCAUUUCUAUAAAUAGAGAGAGAGAGGAGCUAGUUUCCAUAAAUAGAAAGAGAGAGGGAACUAGCCCGGACGCGACCCGGUCUGAUCUUCCAUUUCUGGUCACCGCACCGGCCGAGCAAGGUACCAAACGGAAGGUUAGAAGCCGGCCAUCAUAUCCGCGUUGUCAUCAAGGCCGAAAAAGGGCUAGAACGUCGACGAUCAAGCUCGGAAAGCCGCGGUAAAACCCACCUCUUCUCGCCAUCGAUUCCGCCGGCUUUGGGUGAUGCCACUGCCUGGAUCUUGAUCUUACAUCACCCUCAACUGCGCCAAAACCACUGUUUUGGCCGCGAACGACCGCCGGAAGGCUCGAGCUUGGGAAGCUCGAUCCACCGCUGUCGUCGCGCGUGGAAGGUCACCGCUGGCACUAUUGGACUCACCGAGGUCAGAACUAUCAGAAUUGAGCUUCCCGUUGUCGUUGACUAAACUCCGGUCACUGCUAACAGGUAGGGCAAUUCGAUAAUUUCAUAAAAUUUAGGGAUAAUUUUGUAAUUUCUGAAAUUGGUGGAUAAUUUAGUAAUUUCAAAUUAGGGAAAUUAGGUAAUUUGAGAUUUUGAGGGUAAUUUGGUAAUUUAAGUUGUUAAGGGCAUUUUGGAAAUUUUGCUCUCCAAGGGUAAUUUCAUGAAUUAUGACAUUGUGGUUAUUUUUGUAACCUGAAUUGAGGGCAGUUUGGUAAUUUAGGAUUUUAAGGGUAAUUUGGUAAAUUAUGAUGUCGUGGACAUUUUGGUAAUUUACAAAUGCAGGGGUAUUUUGGUAAUCUUAUUCAUACGGGAAUAGUUUAUUGCGGGUAAAUAUCGUUUCAAGCUUGUUAGCCGUACUUCGCAUUUAUAGAUAUUAAUUAUGUCGUUUACUUGAUUUAGGAGGAACAACGAACGAGAAUCAACCCACAAACGAGGACGAUAGCUGAGUUUAAGCGUCGUCACUGUGAGUGGAAUAUACAAAACCUAUUUUCAUAGUUAAUUAUGAUAGUAAAGCAUGUUUGCGAAAUAAGCAUUCUAAAUAUUCUAAUUUAAUGAUUUUCUCGAAAUAGAUUUUAUUUACGAGUUGAUAUUUUAUUAAAAUGUUUGGUUAAUGGUUUUUUGUAUCGAUUUUGAAUAAAGCAUGAUAGUAUUUUAAAGAUAAGAAAAGUGAAUUCAAAUGUGGUAUGAUUUAAAGUAUGGUUAAAAGGUAUAUGAAUAUGAGUGUAAUGAUUGUUUUUAAAAUCAUUAGACAAUACCUUUCCCCUCUAGAUACAUGUGAUACAGAUGAGAUAAAAGGUCUUUGAGGCCCUUCUGAAGACACAUAAAGGCUCUGGGCCGUGUGUUUGGGCGCCUUUGCCUUUUGGGGGAAUAUGCAUGUGGUAUGAUGAUUACAGAGAUACAUAUAUUGAGAUACUGACAGAUAUUGAGAUACAAAUAAUACAUAUGAGAUAUAGGCCUUUGGGGCCUGUUUGAGUACACACAGAGGUUUUGGGUUGUGUGCUUGGGCGCCUUGUCCUUUGGGGACCAAUUUAUGCAUCAGAGAUAUGAUGAGAUAUAUGAGAUAUGAAAUGACAUUUCCCCGUCUACCCAUUGUAGCUCCGGGGCAUGUUGGUUCCUUAAUUGUUUGGCCGUCGAGGUCCGGGUAUGAUGAAAUUAUUCUCCUGGGUACUUGUUUAGUGACAGUUUUCAUGAUUCAAAUAUUGAAAUUACAGUGUAUCAUGACUUCUUUGAUUUUAUACGGUAUUAUAUAAUAAGUUUAUGUCACUGUAUGUUUUAUACUCAAAUAAGUUAUUUAAGUUCUUAUGAAAAUUUUGUUGAAAGGAUUUAUUGAAAUGAUAAUUAUUUUGAAGUAAAUUUAUUUUUUAAAAACUACUAUUUACUUACUGAACAUACUGAGUUUAUACUCACCCCGUUUUUAUUAUAUUCCCCCCUCCCAUAGGAGAUUUGUAGGUACAUCAGUCGAUCCAGCAACGAUAGUUACAUUGGAAAUUAUGGCCAUGUGAUGGUGCCAGGAAUCAUAGAUGUUUGUUGGGAUAUUUUAGAUUGUAUAAAUUAUUGCAUAUUUGUGAUUAAAGAUAAUAAAUUGUAUUUUUGACAUUAUAUGUUUGGAGGAUAUUUGGUAUGUGAUUGACGAAGUUGGUUGCGGAGGUUGAUUAAAUAUUGAAUUAUUUUUUAGAUUGUUAAUUUUAUAAAUUUACGGUUUAGGAAUGUUAUAAUUGUAGAGGAGACUGUCGAAUUUUUGGUAGAAUUCUUAAAUAUUAAAUUUAUUAUUAAUUCGGUUGGACGAGAUUAGAUAGACUUGCUUUGGGGAUUUAGGGUGGGUCGUUUCACAUAUUUAUUUGACUUACCAAGUUUCUUUCUAUUAGGCUCUCAUGAUCUCAUGCUCUCAUGUAGCUAGGCUUAUUUGACUUACUAAGCUUCCUGCUACUGAGCUCUUGUUCUCCCAUGUUUUCAUGCUCUUGUGUUCUCAUGCUCUUACGUAGUUGUGCUUAUUUGACUUAUUAAGCUUUCUACUACAUACUAAGCUAUCACGUUUUCAUGCUCUCAUACUCUCAUGCUCUUACGCAGUUGUGCUUAUUUGACUUGUUAAGUUUCUUAUUACUAAGCUCUCAUGCUGUCAUGCCCUCAUGUCACUGUGUUUAUUUGACUUAUUAAGUUUCUUAUUAUUGAGCUUUCAUGCUCCCAUGUUUUCAUGAUCUUAUGCGUUUGUAGUUAUUUAACUUAUUAAGCUUCCUACUACUAAGCUAUCAUGCUUUCAUACAUUCACGUAGUUGUGCUUAUUGGAUUUAUAAGCUUCCUGCAACUAAGCUCUCGUGUAGUUGUGCUUAUUUGACUUAUUACGCUUCCUGCUGCUGAGUUCUCAUGCUUUCGUACUCUCAUGCUUAUCAUGCUCUCUUGUACUUGUAGUUAUUUGACUUUUCACAUUUCUCAUGUAAUUGUGCUUAUUUGAUUUAUUACGCAUCCGGCUGCUGAGUUCUCAUGCUUUCAUGCUUAUCAUGCUCUCUUGUGCUUGUAAUUAUUUAAAUUUUCACCUUUCUCAUUACAACAUGUAUAAUUAUCGAAAUAAAUGUUUGUCUUUAAAAAAAAAUUUAAAGGCUGAAGACUUUGAAUUUUAAUACAAAUAUUGACGGGUCUAGGGUUUUAAAUUAUACUACUUGGCAUAAGUAUCCAAAUUUAAUGUCAUUAUUUUACAAAAAGUAAAAUGAUUAAAUUGUUGAAAAUAUAUGAGAAAAAACGAUUUUUAAAGACCAAAACAAAAUCCAACCCUUCAUUAAAUAUGUAGGUUUGAACAAUGGAUCUAUCCAUUAAAAGCUCGAUUCGAUAAGAUCGUUUUGUCGAUUAAUCUUAUAUUCUGUUAAUGUAUCGUAUAAACUUUUGUCAAGCCAUUAAUCAUAUAUGGAUUGCGAAACUCUAUAUGAAGAGCAGAAGUCCGGCCGAGUUCAAACUAAGUAAUUAGUUCCUUUGGUUUGCUUUGAUUAGAAAAAAAAAAAAAAAAAAAGAAAGAAAAAAGUUCCCACUCAAGUUCCAGCAACGGUUUCCAGUUCAAUAGAAAAACCUGUUUGUCCCAAAUUGAAUGUCAUGUUUUUUUUAUACAAAGUAAAAUGAUUAAAUUGUUGAAAAUAUAUGAGGCAAACGGUUUUAAUAAUGGAUCUAUGCUUUAAAAGAUCAACUCGAUGAGAUGCAGACAAUCAUUUUAUUUUGUAAUUUAACAUUCUGUUAAUGUAUCGCAUGAAAUUUUUUCAAGCCAAAGGUUAUUUAUGGGAGAAACUCUAUGAUACAUCAGAAUUAAUACAACUAAUAAAUCUGUGUGUGUGUGUUGUGUAACUGAGAAUAUAGAGGCAGAGAGAACAGAAAAAAUUUAAAAGGGUUUGAGCCAUGUUUGGACACUUUGAGGUUUUAUUUAUCCUCACUACACUUGAUUUGUAAUGAAGUUGAAUGAAAAAUCACCCUCAAGAUACAACAAACUCUAAACACAAUCUCUAGCAAUGAAACUAUAUUCGAGAACAGGUUAUGAAUCUGUAAUAUAAUCUGGGAUAUUUAUAGGAAGUUAAGUGUCUAUUCAUGAAGUAAUAUGUUUAUUCACAAAACAAUGCAACCCUCCAAACAAAUUAAGGCACCUUUUUAGAACAGAUCACUUUAAAUAGACACUUUAGUGAGAAACAUUGCACCUUUCCAUCAUUUAAUUUAAUUAAUUUAUUUAAAAUAAACUAAUUAAUUAAUUACGAAGGAAUUAUAUUUCAAUCUCAAAGCUUUCUCAUUUUAGCGCUGCAGCGUAUCUCUCUUGGUGCUGCAGCACCAAUGUUCUCCCAUAUGUAUAAUAACAAAUAUUAUAAUCUCUUUUACAUUUUAAAUAAUCACUAAUUACAUGCUAUUUCUUUAAAAUAAAUGUACAAAUGCCAUUGCAUCAUUCCACUAGAUUGCAAGGACCAAUGAAAUUAAUGCUUAGCCUAGAUCAGACGUAAGGUUGGAGAAUGAAAUAAACAUAUUUCCUAACAUCGAACCUGUAACAAUAUAGCACUUAAUUACUAUAACUAACAUAAAUUGAACUUUCCAUUUGCACGAAAAGCCAAUUCAGUAGGAAUUGCCCUGCAAUUUUAGGUAAUAUUUAAAUAAUUUGUCUAUUAUAUAUGUCAGCAUUACUGCACAAUUAACUUACAGCUAAUAAUCCAAAAGCUAUAUAUAUGGCUACUUUCAACAAAACCGCUUAGUGUUACCCACAUUUUUCACGCUUCUUGGGUCUUCUUAAAAGAUGAAGUGAAAUAUAUUGAAGACGAGGGUAGAUGCUCGUUUUGCCCUUAUAUUUUGUGUUAAUACUUGCUUAGUAUCUAUAUUUUGAAAAAUACCUCAUCCAUUUUGUUUAUUAUGAGGCAUUCAUAUCCUUAUUUUUUUCUUUUUUCUUUUUAAUAUAACUCUUACUACAAUUUUAAAAUAAUAUUUAAUAUCUUUGCAAUAACUAAUCUUGCUAAUAAUAAUUUAUAAAAUAAUAACAAAAAAUUUAUAUUUAUUUUAAUUUUAUAUUUUAUUGUAUGAUGAUAUAAUACCUUAGAGUUAUUAUAGAAUUUCUCUAUCUAUGGAUUGGGAAACUCUAUAUAAAGAGCAGAAGUCCUACCGAGUUCAAACUAAGUAAUUAGUUCCUUUGGUUUGAGUGUGAAAAAGAAAAAAAAAAAAAAAUGUCCGCUCAAGUUCUAGCAACGGUUUCCAGUUCAACAGAAAAAACUGUUCGUCCCAUUGCUGGUUUCCAUCCUAACUUAUGGGGAGACUAUUUCCUGACCCUCGCUUCUGAUUGC